rnacentral:lncRNA from 1 species
UUUAGAAAUAGAAGUUCGGUCAAUAAACCUACAAAUUGUUUUCCUUUCGGCUGUUCAGAGGUGAAUAUGGUGACAAUUUUGUCUUUUUAUCUAUUUUAGUUUUUUUCUGAAAAAAUACAUUGAAAAAAUUACAAAAAAAAUCCAUUGUAGGUCUUGAACUACAAUGAACCAUUAAUGUGAUUGUACAUGAAAUUAUGCAAAAU